rnacentral:rRNA from 1 species
UACGGGGGGGGCAAGCGUUGUUCGGAAUUACUGGGCGUAAAGGGUUUGUAGGUGGCCCGCUAAGUCACACGUGAAAUCCCUCAGCUUAACUGGGGAACUGCGUGUGAGACUGGCAGGCUCGAGGGCAGGAGAGGAACGCGGAAUUCCAGGUGUAGCGGUGAAAUGCGCAGAUAUCAGGAAGAACACCCGUGGCUAAGGCGGCUCUCUAGUACGGUACUGACGCUGAGACGCGAAAGCGUGGGGAGCGAACAGG